rnacentral:tRNA from 1 species
CAGCUAAUAGUUUAAAUAAAAUAUAAUCUUUGGAAGAUUAUGAUGUAUAAUAAUAUUUGGCUGA